GACGAACGCUGGCGGCGUGCUUAACACAUGCAAGUCGAACGGUAAGGCCCUUCGGGGUACACGAGUGGCGAACGGGUGAGUAACACGUGGGUGAUCUGCCCUGCACUUCGGGAUAAGCCUGGGAAACUGGGUCUGAUACCGGAUAGGACCACUGCCUGCAUUGGUGGUGGUGGAAAGCUUUUGUGGUGUGGGAUGGGCCCGCGGCCUAUCAGCUUGUUGGUGGGGUGAUGGCAUACCAAGGCGACGACGGGUAGCCGGCCUGAGAGGGUGACCGGCCACACUGGGACUGAGAUACGGCCCAGACUCCUACGGGAGGCAGCAGUGGGGAAUAUUGCACAAUGGGCGCAAGCCUGAUGCAGCGACGCCGCGUGAGGGAUGACGGCCUUCGGGUUGUAAACCUCUUUCAGCACCGACGAAGCGCAAGUGACGGUAGGUGCAGAAGAAGGACCGGCCAACUACGUGCCAGCAGCCGCCGUAA
rnacentral:rRNA from 1 species